rnacentral:rRNA from 1 species
GACAGAGGUUGCAAACGUUGUUCGGAAUUACUGGGCAUAAAGCGCACGUAGGCGGUUCGUUAAGUCAUGUGUGAAAUCCCUCGGCUCAACCGAGGAAUUGCGCCUGAUACUGGCGGGCUAGAGAUCGAUAGGGGUGAGUGGAACUCCAGGUGGAGCGGUGAAAUGCGUAGAUAUCUGGAGGAACACCGGUGGCGAAAGCGGCUCACUGGAUCGAUACUGACGCUGAGGUGCGAAAGCGUGGGUAGCAAACAGG